GAUUAACGCUGGCGGCGUGCCUAACACAUGCAAGUCGAGCGGCAGCGAGUUUUACACUGACUUCUGGAAGCUUCUAGUUGAAAGAGAAGAUUUAUUCAAGAAUUUUGUGUAAAAUGUCGGCGAGCGGCGGACGGCUGAGUAACGCGUGGGAACGUACCCCAAAGUGAGGGAUAACGCAUCGAAAGGUGUGCUAAUACCGCAUAUGGUCUUCGGAUUAAAGCCUUCGGGCGCUUUGGGAACGGCCUGCGUAAGAUUAGAUAGUUGGUGGGGUAAUGGCCUACCAAGUCGACGAUCUGUAACUGGUUUGAGAGGAUGAUCAGUCAGACUGGAACUGAGACACGGUCCAGAAUCCUACGGGAGGCAGCAGUGAGGAAUCUUCCACAAUGGGCGAAAGCCUGAUGGAGCAACGCCGCGUGCAGGAUGAAGGCCUUCGGGUUGUAAACUGCUUUUAUAAGUGAGGAUUAUGACAGUAACUUAUGAAUAAGGAUCGGCUAACUACGUG
rnacentral:rRNA from 1 species